GAUUAAGAGCUUGCUCUUAUGAAGUUAGCGGCGGACGGGUGAGUAACACGUGGGUAACCUGCCCAUAAGACUGGGAUAACUCCGGGAAACCGGGGCUAAUACCGGAUAACAUUUUGAACCGCAUGGUUCGAAAUUGAAAGGCGGCUUCGGCUGUCACUUAUGGAUGGACCCGCGUCGCAUUAGCUAGUUGGUGAGGUAACGGCUCACCAAGGCAACGAUGCGUAGCCGACCUGAGAGGGUGAUCGGCCACACUGGGACUGAGACACGGCCCAGACUCCUACGGGAGGCAGCAGUAGGGAAUCUUCCGCAA
rnacentral:rRNA from 2 species